GAUCUUGCUUUCCUGAAGCCAGCUUGGUGGAUUCCAAGGAGGUCCAUUUCCUUAGUGUGGCCGCUCAGUCUUUGGGUGAGUACUCUCUCCAACAGCUUCCCGACAUGACUGAGGAGGCUGAUUGGUCUAUAACUUGUGACGUUGUCUGGGUCUUUGCCAAGUUUGUGGAUCAUUAUGACAACGGCAGAUUUUCAGGGCAGGGGAAAGUAGCCUUCCGUGAGACAUGCUGUGAAGAGGUUAGAAAGGAGGUGCAGGUAUUCAUCAGGUGCUUGUUUGAUGAGUGUGCUGUCAAUGUUGUCUUCCCCUGGUGCUUUGCUUUUUGUUUUUUUCAGGUGAGUUGACUUCUUCAAUGCUAACAGAGCGGGUGAGAGGAUGGUCUUCUGGUGUCGGAUUUGAGGUGUACACUUUUCUGCAUUUCUCUGUCGAUGAUGAUUUUCCAGUCUUUGUCAAAGAGAGGAUCAUCGGGACAAGAAUGAACAUUUUAAGGCCCGGGGGUUGGUGUCUGUAUCUAGCUGGUGAUUGAAGGCAGUCCAUUGUUUCUGUUUGUGGAGGGUGCUUGUUGGAGUUGGAGAGAGAAGGAGGCAAGGACAGGAAGGUGGUCACUUCCCACGUCAUGGCUGACGGAGAAGCUAAGAAGUUUAGCAGCCAAGUUCAGGGAGCAGAGGACAAGAUCAAGGAUGUCUGCCGUGGAGGUUGAAGAAUGGAUGUGUGUGGGCUCGUUGGUGUUGAGAAUGGCCAGGUUUGUGCUGUUGAGGAUAUCCCUUAAUACUCUUCCCGAUGUGUUUGUAGUAUUACAGUUGAAGUCGAUGUGUUUGGCAUUAAAAUCUCCCAUUAUGAUGGUAUGGCCGUUGUUGUCUGCAAGUACAGGGCUAGCUGUGAGUAUUUAACCAAUCAGAGAAUGCGUGAUCAGUGCAUGGGCAGUGGUGGGGUGCAUGGGGGAAGAGUCUGAUUGGCUGAAGCCACAACCUGGGGUGAUCGAUAACUCUCACCUGAGGGGGAGAGCUAGACUACAUGGUGCCAGACAAAUGUAGACAACAUACACGCUGGAAAUUAGACCCACAGCGGCCUCGGCACGGGAUUCUGUAACACCUUGGAUGCCUUACUUCUUGAAGUUUGCAGUUUAAAAAAUAUACUUUUUUUUACCCUUUAGUGUGUGUACUUUAUACUUGGGAUAUCGCUUUUUAACAUGAAAAAUUACAACAACAAAAACAAAAUUGCUGGAAGACGUCUUCAAGAUUUGAAUUAACAUGGGAUGUGUUCUUCACACCUUUUACCCAAAACCAGUAACAGCACCAUCUAGUGGUCAGAACCUGGUAAUAUCCGAUUGUAUGAUGGGACAUAAACCUAACAACUUCAAUGCCUAAUUUCUCUGAACAGGGGAGAUAAACAUCCCUAAAUUCACUGAGGACACAUUACAUAGCUUGAAUAAGCAAUCCUCCAAGCCACAGCUUUAUACUACUUGUCAAACACAGAGUAUUAUAUACUGGC